rnacentral:rRNA from 1 species
GACGAAGGGAGCUAGCGUUGUUCGGAAUUACUGGGCGUAAAGCGCGUGUAGGCGGUUGUCCAAGUUGGAUGUGAAAGCCUUGAGCUCAACUCAAGAAAUGCAUUCAGGACUGGAUGACUAGAGGACCGGAGAGGAUAGUGGAAUUCCCAGUGUAGUGGUGAAAUACGUAGAGAUUGGGAAGAACACCAGUGGCGAAGGCGGCUAUCUGGACGGUUUCUGACGCUAAGACGCGAAAGCGUGGGGAGCAAACAGG